rnacentral:pre_miRNA from 1 species
AAAUGAUGAUGAUGAUGAUGAUGAUGAUGAUGAUGAUUAUGAUGAUGAUGCGAUGAUGAUGAUGAUGAUCAUCAUCAUCAUCAUCAUCAUGAAAAUGA